rnacentral:rRNA from 1 species
GUCAGAUUGAACGCUGGCGGCAGGCCUAACACAUGCAAGUCGAGCGGAUGACGGGAGCUUGCUCCUUGAUUCAGCGGCGGACGGGUGAGUAAUGCCUAGGAAUCUGCCUGGUAGUGGGGGACAACGUUUCGAAAGGAACGCUAAUACCGCAUACGUCCUACGGGAGAAAGCAGGGGACCUUCGGGCCUUGCGCUAUCAGAUGAGCCUAGGUCGGAUUAGCUUGUUGGUGAGGUAAUGGCUCACCAAGGCGACGAUCCGUAACUGGUCUGAGAGGAUGAUCAGUCACACUGGAACUGAGACACGGUCCAGACUCCUACGGGAGGCAGCAGUGGGGAAUAUUGGACAAUGGGCGAAAGCCUGAUCCAGCCAUGCCGCGUGUGUGAAGAAGGUCUUCGGAUUGUAAAGCACUUUAAGUUGGGAGGAAGGGUUGUAGAUUAAUACUCUGCAAUUUUGACGUUACCGACAGAAUAAGCACCGGCUAACUCUGUGCCAGCAGCCGCGGUAAUACAGAGGGUGCAAGCGUUAAUCGGAAUUACUGGGCGUAAAGCGCGCGUAGGUGGUUUGUUAAGUUGGAUGUGAAAGCCCCGGGCUCAACCUGGGAACUGCAUCCAAAACUGGCAAGCUAGAGUACGGUAGAGGGUGGUGGAAUUUCCUGUGUAGCGGUGAAAUGCGUAGAUAUAGGAAGGAACACCAGUGGCGAAGGCGACCACCUGGACUGAUACUGACACUGAGGUGCGAAAGCGUGGGGAGCAAACAGGAUUAGAUACCCUGGUAGUCCACGCCGUAAACGAUGUCAACUAGCCGUUGGAAUCCUUGAGAUUUUAGUGGCGCAGCUAACGCAUUAAGUUGACC